GACGAACGCUGGCGGCGUGCCUAAUACAUGCAAGUAGAACGCUGAAGGAGGAGCUUGCUUCUCUGGAUGAGUUGCGAACGGGUGAGUAACGCGUAGGUAACCUGCCUGGUAGCGGGGGAUAACUAUUGGAAACGAUAGCUAAUACCGCAUAAUAGUAGAUGUUGCAUGACAUUUGCCUAAAAGGUGCAAUUGCAUCACUACCAGAUGGACCUGCGUUGUAUUAGCUAGUUGGUGGGGUAACGGCUCACCAAGGCGACGAUACAUAGCCGACCUGAGAGGGUGAUCGGCCACGCUGGGACUGAGACACGGCCCAGACUCCUACGGGAGGCAGCAGUAGGGAAUCUUCGGCAAUGGACGGAAGUCUGACCGAGCAACGCCGCGUGAGUGAAGAAGGUUUUCGGAUCGUAAAGCUCUGUUGUAAGAGAAGAACGAGUGUGAGAGUGGAAAGUUCACACUGUGACGGUAUCUUACCAGAAAGGGACGGCUAACUACGUG
rnacentral:rRNA from 1 species